CGUGAAACCGUUCAGGGGUAAACCUGAGAAACCCAAAAGAUCGAAUGGGGAGAUUCAUCGUCAACGAUGCCGGCUCCCGUUGGUGCGCGAUGCUCCGGACGGACCCUUCGGGGCUCCGUUAACGAGGGCACGCCACUUUCGGCUCGAACGUUCCGGCUCCGUAGUCGUGCACUUCUCCCCUAGUAGAACGUCGCGACCCGUUGUGUGUCGGCCUACGGCCCGAGCGGGCGCCUGUCGCGUCGCAUUGCGCGCACGCGGCAGACCCUCGGACGCCUGGCCGGCUGCACGACGGUACUCGCACGGUGUAUCGGGCCAUCAACCAAUCCGAUUCUCGAAUCGUACGUGCGUCUGGCCCGCCGCAAGCUCGAUCAGUUCUUACCCGGUGGUCUCGGACCCAGUGCCGUACCCGGGCCUGAUCAGCUGUUAGCAGGCGGUGUCCUCGGACUGGCCAAGCUUCGAAUUACCGGUCGGCGACGCUAAUGCUUUGGGUACUCUCAGGACCCGUCUUGAAACACGGACCAAGGAGUCUAACAUGUGCGCGAGUCAUUGGGAUGCACAAACCUAAAGGCGAAAUGAAAGUGAAGGUCGUACCUUGCGUCGACCGAGGGAGGAUGGGCCGCGUUACGAGGCGGCCCCGCACUCCCGGGGCGUCUCGUUCUCAUUGCGAGGAGAGGCGCACCCAGAGCGUACACG
rnacentral:rRNA from 1 species